AAAUAACACUGGGAAAUAUUCCAAAAUUUAGGAAAAACUAAACAAUGUGUAUGAAUCAACUCUUGGAUCAAACCCAGAGAAGUACAUGUGUUGGGCAUGUGCUCUGCUACUGAGCCAUACACACACACACACACACACACACACACACACACACACACACACAGCCCUGUAAAACAGACUUAAAAAUUCUUUCAAUGUAGUACCACCCUCCUAUUAAAAAAAAUCAUCAAGAGGGAGAGGGGGAGAUGAAAAUUAAAAAUACAUUCCCUACAUCAAAAGAAGAUGUAGCUACAAGAUCAGCUCCACAGAAAGAAGCAAGGUCUCUGGAUGCCAUUUGGUUGCUGAAGAGUCCUUACCCCAGUCUCCCCGUUUCACCUGCCUGGCACCUGUCCCACUCCCUGGCAUCCCACUGACACUGUCCUGAAACACCAGGGAACAAACAUCUGCUGCAAAGACUUCUGGAAGAUGCCAGUCUGCUGUUUGUGAAGGUGCCUCUCCUGAGCUCCAUCUGACUUAUGUUCCAGAUGCUAAACAAACAUCACAGGAAGAGACCAGGGAGCAACUUAGUGGCGAAGUGCUUGCCUUUUGGUCCUGGUUUCCUAGCUCUGAAAAAAAAAAAUCUAGGAGGCCAGGCUUUAGAUAAGGCUUCUGCACUGAAUCCUGACAGAGCAGGAUAAAAAUUAAAAUAGAAUCGAAUAUGCUCAAAUUCCUGGUCACUUACCUGCAGUGAAAUGGUCUGGCUUUCUAAGAGAUCAGGGUUAGAUAAUUCUGCUGUCUUCAUCCUUACACUGUGGAAGUGACUCACAUGACCCGAUGGCAGUUAAUCAGCUAACUUCCUACUGUUCUGUGACCUCUGGGUUACAAGGAACACAAUUUUGAAGUAACUAGCUCAGCUCCU
rnacentral:lncRNA from 1 species